GUCUGCUUUGGCAGCACAUAUACUAAAAUUGGAAAGAUACAGAGAAGAUUAGCAUGGCCCUUGCCCAAGGAUGACACAGAAAUUCAUGAAGCAUUCCAUAUUUUA